AUUUUCCACAAUGGGGGCAACCCUGAUGGAGCAACACCGCGUGCAGGAUAAGGCCUUAGGGUUGUAAAGCUCUUUUACCCGGGAUGAUAAUGACAGUACCGGGAGAAUAAGCCCCGGCUAACUCCGUGCCAGCAGCCGCGGUAAUACGGAGGGGGCUAGCGUUGUUCGGAAUUACUGGGCGUAAAGCGCACGUAGGCGGCGAUUUAAGUCAGAGGUGAAAGCCCGGGGCUCAACCCCGGAAUAGCCUUUGAGACUGGAUUGCUUGAACAUCGGAGAGGUGAGUGGAAUUCCGAGUGUAGAGGUGAAAUUCGUAGAUAUUCGGAAGAACACCAGUGGCGAAGGCGGCUCACUGGACGAUUGUUGACGCUGAGGUGCGAAAGCGUGGGGAGCAA
rnacentral:rRNA from 1 species